GACGAACGCUGGCGGCGUGCCUAAUACAUGCAAGUUGAGCGCUGAAGGUUGGUACUUGUACCGACUGGAUGAGCAGCGAACGGGUGAGUAACGCGUGGGGAAUCUGCCUUUGAGCGGGGGACAACAUUUGGAAACGAAUGCUAAUACCGCAUAAAAACUUUAAACACAAGUUUUAAGUUUGAAAGAUGCAAUUGCAUCACUCAAAGAUGAUCCCGCGUUGUAUUAGCUAGUUGGUGAGGUAAAGGCUCACCAAGGCGAUGAUACAUAGCCGACCUGAGAGGGUGAGCGGCCACAUUGGGACUGAGACACGGCCCAAACUCCUACGGGAGGCAGCAGUAGGGAAUCUUCGGCAAUGGACGAAAGUCUGACCGAGCAACGCCGCGUGAGUGAAGAAGGUUGUCGGAUCGUAAAACUCUGUUGGUAGAGAAGAACGUUGGUGAGAGUGGAAAGCUCAUCAAGUGACGGUAACUACCCAGAAAGGGACGGCUAACUACGUG
rnacentral:rRNA from 1 species